ensembl:lncRNA ERVK13-1 endogenous retrovirus group K13 member 1
GAGUAGCUGGGAUUACAGGCGUGUGCCACCAUGCCCGGCUAAUUUUUGUGUUUUUAGUAGAGACCGGGGAAGGUAUGGGCCCUCUUUUGAGAAAAAUGCAGAGUGACACUGAAUUUUGUAACUACAUCAGGAGGCUCUUGAACCUUCUGCAGCUCACUCGUGGAGUUUGUAGAGAUGCGUAAUAAUCCGAAGUGUUAAGGAAGAAGGUUCUGUUGAGAAAAAGUUGGAGGGCUGAAAGGGAUGCCUUUCGCUAUUUCGACAUGUGUGGCUGUACCCCAGAGUGCCCUGGCUAACACGCAAAACCAUGAAUUAGGCGGCUUGGCGAGGCUCAGUGGAGGCUGGGGCCGAGAGUCAUGUCAAAGUUUGUGGGGUUAACCUGCACCCAGUGACAGUCAUGGCGAAGUUUGUGAGGUUAACUCGCACCCAGUAACGCUGUUCCAAUGCAAGGUGUGUAUUUGGUGUCAUCCACGGGAAGAGGAAACAGCAAAUUUUCUCAUGGCCUUGGCAGUUCCACAUGAUGGACAUUUCAUAUCUGCAGUUUUCUUCGCAUGAGAUGGCUUUUUUGCACAAAAACACUGGAAUCCAGUGAGCAAGAAUGAUAGAAUGCAAGAUGGAUUUCCACAUGAGGAAGUGUCACGAACAAGCGUUUUGCAUCUCUGUCAGCUGGAUUCCCCCAUGUGUACGUAUGUGAGAACAUGCCGUGUUUCCUGUCUGUAAUGGUAGAGGCAGCCCUGAUACUGGAUUUUCACCUGAGGAUGGAUAGAUCUUCAGGGUUCAAGUGGGUUUGCAUCUGGACUUUAGGGUGGCCCUGUAGGCCCUGUGUGAGAAGCCCCCUUCCCAGUGAACUUUCCCUUGUGUGCCCGCGUGGACAGCCAACAGGGGGAGCAGUGCGAGCGUGAAGGCAGACAGUGGCCUGGCCCAGUCUGAUGGUGCAGAAGCUGAGCUGCAGAGGCGUUAGGUACCUGCCUCAUAAGUGGUAGAGACUCCAGUGUCACCCUGCCCCUCACGUUCGGAGCCCCCGAGGGAGGGUCUGCCGGGCAGCUCAGCCCAGCACUCUAUGGCUGAACUCUGUGACCCCGGGGCCUGUUUCAGCCUCCUGCUGUCAGAAAGCAGCUGUUUGGGAAGAGGCUGUGAUUCGGCCUUGUUUGAGGGCCGAUACUCUGAAUGGGGAGAGACCCACCGACCCUGUGGGGCUGGUCCCUACAUCUGGCGCUCUGACGUGGGGCUCUCCCUCGCUGUGUGAAGUUGCACCCUGAGUGCGGGAUCAGCGGAGGAGUUCAACGAGAGAUUCCUGAGGAUUGCAGUCUAUAAACUUGGUGGAAAAGAACUACAGCCUGUGUGGGUCCCCUCCCGACAAUUAAAAUUGCACCAUAACUCCAAAGAUGAAACGCUCCCAGAAAGAAAA